AUUCAGCUGAUGAGUUCAAAAUAGGACGAAACGCGCAUCUUGGAU
rnacentral:hammerhead_ribozyme from 1 species